GGCGGCAGGCCUAUCACAUGCAGGUCGAGCGGUAACAUUUCAAAAGCUUGCUUUUGAAGAUGACGAGCGGCGGACGGGUGAGUAAUGCCUGGGAAUUUGCCCAUUUGUGGGGGAUAACAGUUGGAAACGACUGCUAAUACCGCAUACGCCCUACGGGGGAAAGCAGGGGACCUUCGGGCCUUGCGCUGAUGGAUAAGCCCAGGUGGGAUUAGCUAGUAGGUGAGGUAAAGGCUCACCUAGGCGACGAUCCCUAGCUGGUCUGAGAGGAUGAUCAGCCACACUGGGACUGAGACACGGCCCAGACUCCUACGGGAGGCAGCAGUGGGGAAUAUUGCACAAUGGGGGAAACCCUGAUGCAGCCAUGCCGCGUGUGUGAAGAAGGCCUUCGGGUUGUAAAGCACUUUCAGCGAGGAGGAAAGGGUGUAAGUUAAUACCUUACAUCUGUGACGUUACUCGCAGAAGAAGCACCGGCUAACUCCGUGCCAGCAGCCGCGGUAAUACGGAGGGUGCGAGCGUUAAUCGGAAUUACUGGGCGUAAAGCGUGCGCAGGCGGUUUGUUAAGCGAGAUGUGAAAGCCCCGGGCUCAACCUGGGAACCGCAUUUCGAACUGGCAAACUAGAGUCUUGUAGAGGGGGGUAGAAUUCC
rnacentral:rRNA from 1 species